AUUUUUUUUUUUUUUUUUUUUGUUAAUAUUCUUGUGCUUCAUUAAGGUUUAAAACCUUCGUAUGUACCUGAAUGCUAUUUCCAAUUAUUAAUGGAAAGAACGAAAUAAUGAACGGCCAACAAAUUACAUUUUGGAUCUUUCUGGAUCUUUUAGACUGGUUGGAGAAGUUGAUGUUGAAAAGAGAAAUUUCUUUGGAGUGUACUAAUGAAAGACUUCUGCAGUUGUCUUUUCUUGUAGCUAGUUUUGAACUUGUGAAAGGAUCAAAUGUUGAAGAUUGCUACUAAUGUGCCUUGGCCUGAGGCACGUGGAAGGAAAAUAGAUGAAAAAGUUUCUCAAAUUUGCAUAUUACAUGGAAGAACUAUUUUUAUUUUUUAAAUUUCUUAAAUGUCCACUACUGAACCUUCUUUUAACGUGCAGCCGCAGCGAUGAGCAGUCAGCACUGAAGUUGAGAUGCAGAUACCGAUGGAAGCUAGAUUUGGCUGGUCUUCUCAUGUUAAUCAGAUUGUUGGCAUGAGAAUCACCUUAUUGUCAUGUUCUUCUACGCGUGAGAGUUCGAAAAACAUUCACCUGCAGUCAACUUGCAAUACAAUUUCACCAUGCCACUUACAAGACUUGUUCUUAAAAUGAAUUAUUAUGUUCCUCAAAGAAACUUUAAAAUCCUAGACUAUACCCAAUUUUGUGUUUCUCUCAGUGCAGGAAGACACCUGUUAGGCAUGUCUGCUCUUCUUUGUACAGAAACUCCUCUGAGUCAUUUUCAAGGGGACAACAAACUUUACGAUAACCAAUAAACUGAGAAAUUGGAGCCCUUAGCUUUGACAUGAUAGCUAGACAUGGCCAUUACUGAUGAAGCCACUGAAUCCCCAGAAAACAAGAAGACAGAGAUACAUAUGCUUCCUCCAAAAAGAGGCCAAAUCAAGGUGAAGAUAUUCUCUAAGUUAGCCAAUAUGGUAGCCAAAGCAGGAAAAGCCCUUAAUAAAAAGAAGAUAAAGGAGGAUCAACCUCAGCAACCAAAUGGCUCCACCUCCAUGCACAAAUAAUAAUACUAAUAGAAUACAUUUUGGUAAGCUGUAAUAUCACAUUACAUUCCAUUACGCCUUACCAAGUGCGGGCUAUCGUUCUAAUGGGAAUUCUGUUUCUGUUGAACCUAUUACUGUAUAUCUUUCUAACAUUUCUUCGCAACUUUGCUGGUUCCAGCUUUUGCUGUGAUUUCCUGAUAUUGUUGUGUAUCAGUACUUGGUGGAUUUUGAAUAAAGUACCUAAUUACUUA